AGCAGUGGGGAAUAUUGCACAAUGGGGGAAACCCUGAUGCAGCAACGCCGCGUGAAGGAAGAAGGUUUUCGGAUCGUAAACUUCUAUCAACAGGGACGAAGAAAGUGACGGUACCUGAAUAAGAAGCCCCGGCUAACUACGUGCCAGCAGCCGCGGUAAUACGUAGGGGGCAAGCGUUAUCCGGAAUUACUGGGUGUAAAGGGAGCGUAGGCGGCACGCCAAGCCAGAUGUGAAAGCCCGAGGCUUAACCUCGCGGAUUGCAUUUGGAACUGGCGAGCUAGAGUACAGGAGAGGAAAGCGGAAUUCCUAGUGUAGCGGUGAAAUGCGUAGAUAUUAGGAAGAACACCAGUGGCGAAGGCGGCUUUCUGGACUGAAACUGACGCUGAGGCUCGAAAGCGUGGGGAGCAAACAGGAUUAGAUACCCUGGUAGUCCACGCCGUAAACGAUGAGUGCUAGGUGUCGGGGAGGAAUCCUCGGUGCCGCAGCUAACGCAAUAAGCACUCCACCUGGGGAGUACGACCGCAAGGUUGAAACUCAAAGGAAUUGACGGGGGCCCGCACAAGCGGUGGAGCAUGUGGUUUAAUUCGAAGCAACGCGAAGAACCUUACCAAGGCUUGACAUCCCGAUGACCGCUCUAGAGAUAGAGCUUCUCUUCGGAGCAUCGGUGACAGGUGGUGCAUGGUUGUCGUCAGCUCGUGUCGUGAGAUGUUGGGUUAAGUCCCGCAACGAGCGCAACCCUUAUCCUUAGUAGCCAUCAUUGAGUUGGGCACUCUAGGGAGACUGCCGUGGAUAACACGGAGGAAGGUGGGGAUGACGUCAAAUCAUCAUGCCCCUUAUGUCUUGGGCUACACACGUGCUACAAUGGCUGGUAACAGAGUGAAGCGAGACGGCGACGUUAAGCAAAUCACAAAAACCCAGUCCCAGUUCGGAUUGUAGUCUGCAACUCGACUACAUGAAGCUGGAAUCGCUAGUAAUCGCGAAUCAGAAUGUCGCGGUGAAUACGUUCCCGGGCCUUGUACACACCGCCCGUCACACCAUGGGAGUUGGAAGCACCCGAAGUCGGUGACCUAACCGUAAGGAAGGAGCCGCCGAAGGUGAAGCCAGUGACUGGGGUGAAGUCGUAACAAGGUAGCCGUAUCGGAAGG
rnacentral:rRNA from 1 species